GUGGCGAACGGGUGAGUAACACGUGGGCAAUCUGCCCUGCACUCUGGGACAAGCCCUGGAAACGGGGUCUAAUACCGGAUAACACUCCUGCACUCAUGUGUGGGGGUUAAAAGCUCCGGCGGUGCAGGAUGAGCCCGCGGCCUAUCAGCUUGUUGGUGAGGUAAUGGCUCACCAAGGCGACGACGGGUAGCCGGCCUGAGAGGGCGACCGGCCACACUGGGACUGAGACACGGCCCAGACUCCUACGGGAGGCAGCAGUGGGGAAUAUUGCACAAUGGGCGAAAGCCUGAUGCAGCGACGCCGCGUGAGGGAUGACGGCCUUUNGGGUUGUAAACCUCUUUCAGCAGGGAAGAAGCGCAAGUGACGGUACCUGCAGAAGAAGCGCCGGCUAACUACGUGCCAGCAGCCGCGGUAAUACGUAGGGCGCAAGCGUUGUCCGGAAUUAUUGGGCGUAAAGAGCUCGUAGGCGGCUUGUCACGUCGGGUGUGAAAGCCCGGGGCUUAACCCCGGGUCUGCAUUCGAUACGGGCUAGCUAGA
rnacentral:rRNA from 1 species